rnacentral:snRNA from 1 species
GGAUGUGAGGGCGAUCUGGCUGCAACAUGUCACCUCAUGAUCGCCGGGGUUGAUUCAGCUGAUCUGGCUGGCUAGGUGGGUGUCCUCUUCCUUACUCACCACUCCAUAUGUGUCCCUCUGAAGCUGUGCUCUAGAUUGAAGAAGACGACCUUCCCCCAUAGAAGGGACUGUUCUACUCGUUCAAGGGUAUACAAGUAGCUGCGCUCCUCUGCUAGAACCUCCAAACAAGAGUGGCAAUUUUACCAGUAUGUAGUUUGCCAUAAGACUCAGAAACCUUGUUGCCAAUGGAAUGGGCUAAAA